UACGUAGGUGACCAGCGUUGUCCGGAUUUACUGGGCGUAAAGAGCGCGCAGGCGGUCGUUCAAGUCGAGUGUGAAAGCCCCCGGCUCAACUGGGGAGGGUCAUUCGAUACUGAUCGACUUGAAGGCAGGAGAGGGAAGUGGAAUUCCCGGUGUAGUGGUGAAAUGCGUAGAUAUCGGGAGGAACACCAGUGGCGAAAGCGGCUUCCUGGUCCAGCACCGACGUUCAGGCACGAAAGCGUGGGGAGCAAACAGG
rnacentral:rRNA from 1 species